ensembl:lncRNA
CUCUCAUUGUACCUUUAAAUCUGCAGGGUAUGCAGGAGUGCUAACAGCAUCCCUACCAUAAACCGUUCCUAUCUUGAAUAAUACUCAGUGACAGGAGAACAUGAGCAGCCACAACUUACCUCUGCAGUGCAUGAAAUGGAAAGGAGCUCAGUGUAUAUGAGACCUUUAAUCAAACAUGAUAAAGUGGAUAAGCCCAGUUACAUAUGAAGCCAUGCAGCUGGCUGACAGACAAGCAUUGUGGCAGACUGAUGGCUCAGGACUGCAUCCCAGGUGACACCGACGCUUUGCAGAACAGAGCUCAGCCAGCUGCCUGAAGCCCGGUGAGAGGAGCAUCCAUGGGCUCAUGGUUUUGGGUGUUGGUCAGCAAGGAGUAACCACGGUGUGCGGGGAGCCCUGCUGUUCUGCUCCUGGAAGGCCAAACCCCUGAGCUGUUGCUUCAGGUAAGAUGCUUUUUACACCCGUACUGUAGUAGUGCUGGUUAAUGCUAACUGGUUACAUUUAAUGUAUUUCCUGUUAUUGCAAAUCCAGCAUUGAAUUGUAAGACAACUUUUUGUAUCACUGAGGCACAGCUGUCACACUUCUGUCAGUCUUUACCGAGCCUGUUUAUGCUGGCUGUUGUUGGAGUUCCUUGUGCCCUACCAUAAUUGCAAGUGUGUCUUUAAAGGAUUAAAAUUUAAUAUGAACAUUCAGCCAUGGCACAGCUGUGAUGGAAAAGGUAAGAGUGCUCCAAGUUCAAUUUGGUUUUGCCUGGAGUGGAUAACCGUACCGUCCUGCAGCUCCCGACC